rnacentral:rRNA from 1 species
GUAGGUGGCAAGCGUUGUCCGGAAUUAUUGGGCGUAAAGCGCGCGCAGGCGGUUCUUUAAGUCUGAUGUGAAAGCCCACGGCUCAACCGUGGAGGGUCAUUGGAAACUGGAGAACUUGAGUACAGAAGAGGAAAGCGGAAUUCCACGUGUAGCGGUGAAAAGCGUAGAGAUGUGGAGGAACACCAGUGGCGAAGGCGGCUUUCUGGUCUGUAACUGACGCUGAGGCGCGAAAGCGUGGGGAGCAAACAGGGAUUAGAUACCCUGGUAGUCCACGCCGUAAACGAUGAGUGCUAAGUGUUAGGGGGUUUCCGCCCCCUUAGUGCUGCAGCUAACGCAUUAAGCACUCCGCCUGGGGAGUACGGCCGCAAGGCUG